GCUACAGGCUUAACACAUGCAAGUCGAGGGGCAGCAUGGUCUUAGCUUGCUAAGGCCGAUGGCGACCGGCGCACGGGUGAGUAACACGUAUCCAACCUGCCGUCUACUCUUGGACAGCCUUCUGAAAGGAAGAUUAAUACAAGAUGGCAUCAUGAGUCCGCAUGUUCACAUGAUUAAAGGUAUUCCGGUAGACGAUGGGGAUGCGUUCCAUUAGAUAGUAGGCGGGGUAACGGCCCACCUAGUCUUCGAUGGAUAGGGGUUCUGAGAGGAAGGUCCCCCACAUUGGAACUGAGACACGGUCCAAACUCCUACGGGAGGCAGCAGUGAGGAAUAUUGGUCAAUGGGCGAGAGCCUGAACCAGCCAAGUAGCGUGAAGGAUGACUGCCCUAUGGGUUGUAAACUUCUUUUAUAAAGGAAUAAAGUCGGGUAUGGAUACCCGUUUGCAUGUACUUUAUGAAUAAGGAUCGGCUAACUCCGUGCCAGCAGCCGCGGUAAUACGGAGGAUCCGAGCGUUAUCCGGAUUUAUUGGGUUUAAAGGGAGCGUAGAUGGAUAUUUAAGUCAGUUGUGAAAGUUUGCGGCUCAACCGUAAAAUUGCAGUUGAUACUGGAUAUCUUGAGUGCAGUUGAGGCAGGCGGAAUUCGUGGUGUAGCGGUGAAAUGCUUAGAUAUCACGAAGAACUCCGAUUGCGAAGGCAGCCUGCUAAGCUGCAACUGAC
rnacentral:rRNA from 1 species